CCUGGUUGGUAACAAACAGGGCAUAUGUAAACCCCACUCGAAGCAAGACCGAAUUAUAAGCGAUACGGCUGCCCGUCGUGCUUAUGGGUAGGUCGCUAGAGCCUAGUGGCGACGCUAGGCCAAGAUAGAUGAUCAUUUAAUACAGAACUCGGCUUAUAGUGUUACUCAACCU
rnacentral:RNase_P_RNA from 1 species